rnacentral:rRNA from 1 species
CCUACGGGUGGCAGCAGUGGGGGAUCUUUCACAAUGGGGGAAACCCUGAUGCAGCGACGCCGCGUGUGGGAAGACGGUCCUCUGGAUUGUAAACCACUGUCCCCAGGGACGAAGCUGACGGUACCUGGGGAGGAGACUCCGGCUAACUACGUGCCAGCAGCCGCGGUAAUACGUAGGGAGCAAGCGUUGUCCGGAAUUACUGGGGGUAAAGGGAGCGUAGGCGGGAUGGCAAGUUUGGUGUUAAAUCUACCGGCUCAACUGGGAGUCGCACAGAACACUGCUAUUCUUGAGUGAAGUAGAGGCAGGCGGAAUUCCUAGUGUAGCGGUGAAAUGCGUAGAUAUUAGGAGGAACACCAGUGGCGAAGGCGGCCUGCUGGGCUUUUACUGACGCUGAGGCUCGAAAGUGUGGGGAGCAAACAGGAUUAGAUACCCGAGUAGUC